GUUGUCUCGGCUGCGGGCCUGCUGUGUGUCUUGAGGCCGGCGCUUUACUCCUGGUGAAAAAUACCUGUCUAGGAAGGCGGUUAUAAGAAUUAAAAGGCACGUUUCCGGAAAGAGAGAGAGAGGGUCAUUUCGGUAAUCUCCAGCAAACACCUUGCUCUCCACAGCUGAUUUAAAAAGAACAGAACAGAUCCGCAUGAGCAAGUUCUGCUCACACUGUAGAAGGAAGAAGACUGUGAGGUGGGGAUCAGGCAGAAGAGGAUUCUCGGCGGGAAGCAGUAGUGCAAAGAGGGUAAGACAAGCACAAACUUGGCAAAUUUAAAGACUAGAAAUUGACCCACUGCGGCUGAAGCUGGGGUAGGCAGGGGCCGGGUAUCUAGAGCUCUGCAAGCUAGGCAUGGAAUUUAGAUUUUCUUCUAAGGAAAUCAAAUCCUUUGGGGGGUUUUAAAUAAGGAAGUAACAUAAUGAAACUUACAUUUUAAAAAUAUUAUUUUGGCAUAAGGAUAGUCUUAUGGAUCAGUGGGAUGGAAUUGAGAGUCCAGAAAUAAACCCACACCUCUGUGCUCAGUUGAUUUUCAAUACCAGUGCCAAGACCAGUGCUUGGGGAAAGAAAAGUCUCUUCAACAAAUUGUGCUGGGAAACUAGAUAUUCACAGGCAAAAGAAUGAAGUUGGAAUCUACCUCCCACCAUAUACAGAAAUUAACCCCAAAUGGAUCAAAGACCCAAAAGUAAUGCUAAAACUAUGAAGCUCUUAGAAGAAAACUUAGGGGUAAAUCUUCAUGACCUGAGAUUUGGCAUCGGUUUCUUAG